rnacentral:lncRNA from 1 species
GUCCUGUGACUCUGCAUGUCCUGUGACUCUGCCAACAUACGUUUAGUAGCUAUAGGUCAAGAUUUUUAACCACCAUAGAAUAUAUUUUCCUGAAUUUAUAAGAUAUAUCUUACUAAUUAUGGAUCAGAAUUGAACAAUUUCAGUAAAAUAAGAAAGAAAUUAUGAUUUUUUCAUCGGCCGGAUCAUAGCCGAUGUUGGUCAGGUCAC